UACGUAGGGUGCAAGCGUUGUCCGGAAUUAUUGGGCGUAAAGAGCUCGUAGGCGGUCUGUCGCGUUCGGCUGUGAAAACCCGGGGCUCAACCCCGGGCCUGCAGUCGAUACGGGCAGACUAGAGUGCGGUAGGGGAGACUGGAAUUCCUGGUGUAGCGGUGAAAUGCGCAGAUAUCAGGAGGAACACCGGUGGCGAAGGCGGGUCUCUGGGCCGUAACUGACGCUGAGGAGCGAAAGCGUGGGGAGCGAACAGG
rnacentral:rRNA from 1 species